ensembl:piRNA 21ur-3624 ncRNA
UUCAGCAAUAUUGUGAUCUAU